rnacentral:rRNA from 1 species
UACGGAGGAUCCAAGCGUUAUCCGGAUUUAUUGGGUUUAAAGGGUGCGUAGGCGGUUUAUUAAGUCAGGGGUGAGAGACGGCAGCUUAACUGUCGCAGUGCCUUUGAUACUGAUGAACUUGAAUGUACUAGAAGUAGGCGGAAUGUGACAAGUAGCGGUGAAAUGCAUAGAUAUGUCACAGAACACCGAUUGCGAAGGCAGCUUACUAUGGUAUAAUUGACGCUGAGGCACGAAAGCGUGGGGAUCAAACAGG